rnacentral:lncRNA from 15 species
CAAAAGCUCACAUGCACACUUACAAACAUAAUAGUGCAUCUACACAAUAAAGCGCACACACAGACACACACACACACACACACACAGGGUCAUCGUUCUCACUCUGCUGGUUGUUGUGUAUAGAAGUCAGUUCCAGGUCAGUGCACAGAGCCAGGGAUCUUAGUCCAUACAAAAGAUUGUGUGUGUGUGUGUGUGUGUGUGUGUGUGUGUGUGUGUGUGUGAGGGGGGCGUGUUCUCUCUGUGUGUGUGUGUGUGUGUGUGUGUGUGUGUGUGUGUGUGUGUGUGUGUUGUUUUUCUGUAUAUAUGUGUGUGUGUGUGUCAGUGAAUAUACAUCAGCCCCAAGGCGUCUGAAACAGCGCUCGCACCCUGAAACAAUUCAACAAAACACUCAGACUGAAAAGACAUUUUUGACAGCGGCGGCCGGGCGCGAGCGUCAGUAUGCGUGCCUCGGCCUGCUGCAAAGCAUCAUGGGUAAAAAGCAGGUGGAACCUGCAAGGUUUUUUACAAAAGAUGUGACUGUGUUUGUGUCAGGAAUUGAUGGAUUUUACUUACUUACUUUUACUGGUCGCCAAUUAUUGGACAUCUUUGUUGAUGAUGAUGAUGAUGAUGAUGAAGGUAACAGUAGUGUGUGUGUGUCUGUCUGUGUGUGUGUCACAGGUCUGACAGCAGCAGCCAUGGCCGAGCUCCAGAAGCUGCAGAAGAUGAAGAUGAUGAUGAGUCUCCAGAACGGCAACGAGUCGGACAACGACGACUUACACUCCAACACAGGAGGGAGUGAGUGUUCUUGGGAUAAGGAGCGUCUGACCAGCCCUCCUGCUGGAUCCCACGGCGUAGGACCAGGAGGAGGAGGACCAGUAGGAGGAGCUGGAGGAGGAGGUGGUGCAGCAGGGGGUGGGAGGGGGCCAACCAUCGGCGCUGUCAAUCAACAGCAACUCCAGCAGCAACAACAGCUACUGGCUAACAGUGAGUGUACACACACACACACACACACACACACACACACACACACACACACACGCACGCACUUCGUAGGGUGUUCAUUCAUUCGCUUUCAUUCUUUGAAUAAUUCUCUCUCGUUAUUGU